rnacentral:rRNA from 1 species
UACGAAGGGGGCUAGCGUUGUUCGGAAUUACUGGGCGUAAAGCGUGCGCAGGCGGCUUCUCAAGUCAGGGGUGAAAGCCCAGAGCUCAACUCUGGAAUUGCCUUUGAGACUGAGUGGCUUGAGUACGGGAGAGGUGAGUGGAAUUCCCAGUGUAGAGGUGAAAUUCGUAGAUAUUGGGAAGAACACCGGUGGCGAAGGCGGCGACCUGGUCCGAUACUGACGCUGAGGCGCGUAAGCGUGGGGAGCAAACAGG